ACUUGAAUUGAAGAGUUUGAUCAUGGCUCAGAUUGAACGCUGGCGGCAGGCUUAACACAUGCAAGUCGAACGGUAGCAGGAGAAAGCUUGCUUUCUUGCUGACGAGUGGCGGACGGGUGAGUAAUGCUUGGGAAUCUGGCCUAUGGAGGGGGAUAACGACGGGAAACUGUCGCUAAUACCGCGUAUUAUCGGAAGAUGAAAGUGCGGGACUGAGAGGCCGCAUGCCAUAGGAUGAGCCCAAGUGGGAUUAGGUAGUUGGUGGGGUAAAGGCCUACCAAGCCUGCGAUCUCUAGCUGGUCUGAGAGGAUGACCAGCCACACUGGAACUGAGACACGGUCCAGACUCCUACGGGAGGCAGCAAUGGGGAAUAUUGCGCAAUGGGGGGAACCCUGACGCAACCAUGCCGCGUGUAUGAAGAAAGGCUUAAGGGUGGAGAGUUCUUUCGGUAUUGAGGAAAGGUUGAAGGGUAAAGAGCACGACACAUUGACGUUUAAUACAAAAAAAAGCACCGAACUAACUCCGUGGCGGCAGCCGCGGUUAUUCGCGAAGGGGCGACCUUUAUUGGAAAAACGGGGCCUCACGGGCACCACGCCGGUUAUUUUAAUGAGGGGUUGAAAACCCCGGGCCUAACCUGGGGUAAUUCAUUUUAAAACUGGGUAUCAAUAGUACUUUACGGCGAGGGGCAAGAUUCCACAGGGUUACGGAAUAAAUGUGUCCAUGGUGUGGGCGGGAAGCUGGGAGGGGAAGGAGCCCCCCCUGGCGAAACUUUCGAACCCCCCCAGGGCAAAGACCGGCGGGAAGCAACAGUGAUUAAAAGAACCCCGCUGGGACACCUGGAGUGGAAGCGUGUGGGCGCGUAUGCCGGGGGGUGGGGCUGGUGAAACUGGUGGGCCCCUUCGGCCCACCCGCUGGCCCUUACACCCACCCACACACGCUUGGAUGAAGAUGUCGGACGCGAUCGUACAAGCAGACUUAUAUGGUGGAUGGUCUUGUAUAGUGGUGGGUGGGUACGAAUAUCCAAUGAUGUCGGC
rnacentral:rRNA from 1 species